rnacentral:rRNA from 1 species
ACGGUGAACACGGAGCUUGCUCUGUGGGAUCAGUGGCGAACGGGUGAGUAACACGUGAGCAACCUGCCCCUGACUCUGGGAUAAGCGCUGGAAACGGCGUCUAAUACUGGAUAUGUGACGUGAUCGCAUGGUCUGCGUCUGGAAAGAAUUUCGGUUGGGGAUGGGCUCGCGGCCUAUCAGCUUGUUGGUGAGGUAAUGGCUCACCAAGGCGUCGACGGGUAGCCGGCCUGAGAGGGUGACCGGCCACACUGGGACUGAGACACGGCCCAGACUCCUACGGGAGGCAGCAGUGGGGAAUAUUGCACAAUGGGCGCAAGCCUGAUGCAGCAACGCCGCGUGAGGGAUGACGGCCUUCGGGUUGUAAACCUCUUUUAGCAGGGAAGAAGCGAAAGUGACGGUACCUGCAGAAAAAGCGCCGGCUAACUACGUGCCAGCAGCCGCGGUAAUACGUAGGGCGCAAGCGUUAUCCGGAAUUAUUGGGCGUAAAGAGCUCGUAGGCGGUUUGUCGCGUCUGCUGUGAAAUCCGGAGGCUCAACCUCCGGCCUGCAGUGGGUACGGGCAGACUAGAGUGCGGUAGGGGAGAUUGGAAUUCCUGGUGUAGCGGUGGAAUGCGCAGAUAUCAGGAGGAACACCGAUGGCG